rnacentral:rRNA from 1 species
GGGUUGUGAGGUUAAGCGACUAAGCGUACACGGUGGAUGCCCUGGCAGUCAGAGGCGAUGAAGGACGUGCUAAUCUGCGAUAAGCGUCGGUAAGGUGAUAUGAACCGUUAUAACCGGCGAUUUCCGAAUGGGGAAACCCAGUGUGUUUCGACACACUAUCAUUAACUGAAUCCAUAGGUUAAUGAGGCGAACCGGGGGAACUGAAACAUCUAAGUACCCCGAGGAAAAGAAAUCAACCGAGAUUCCCCCAGUAGCGGCGAGCGAACGGGGAGCAGCCCAGAGCCUGAAUCAGUGUGUGUGUUAGUGGAAGCGUCUGGAAAGGCGCGCGAUACAGGGUGACAGCCCCGUACACAAAAAUGCACAUACUGUGAGCUCGAUGAGUAGGGCGGGACACGUGGUAUCCUGUCUGAAUAUGGGGGGACCAUCCUCCAAGGCUAAAUACUCCUGACUGACCGAUAGUGAACCAGUACCGUGAGGGAAAGGCGAAAAGAACCCCGGCGAGGGGAGUGAAAAAGAACCUGAAACCGUGUACGUACAAGCAGUGGGAGCACGCUUAGGCGUGUGACUGCGUACCUUUUGUAUAAUGGGUCAGCGACUUAUAUUCUGUAGCAAGGUUAACCGAAUAGGGGAGCCGAAGGGAAACCGAGUCUUAACUGGGCGUUAAGUUGCAGGGUAUAGACCCGAAACCCGGUGAUCUAGCCAUGGGCAGGUUGAAGGUUGGGUAACACUAACUGGAGGACCGAACCGACUAAUGUUGAAAAAUUAGCGGAUGACUUGUGGCUGGGGGUGAAAGGCCAAUCAAACCGGGAGAUAGCUGGUUCUCCCCGAAAGCUAUUUAGGUAGCGCCUCGUGAAUUCAUCUCCGGGGGUAGAGCACUGUUUCGGCAAGGGGGUCAUCCCGACUUACCAACCCGAUGCAAACUGCGAAUACCGGAGAAUGUUAUCACGGGAGACACACGGCGGGUGCUAACGUCCGUCGUGAAGAGGGAAACAACCCAGACCGCCAGCUAAGGUCCCAAAGUCAUGGUUAAGUGGGAAACGAUGUGGGAAGGCCCAGACAGCCAGGAUGUUGGCUUAGAAGCAGCCAUCAUUUAAAGAAAGCGUAAUAGCUCACUGGUCGAGUCGGCCUGCGCGGAAGAUGUAACGGGGCUAAACCAUGCACCGAAGCUGCGGCAGCGACGCUUAUGCGUUGUUGGGUAGGGGAGCGUUCUGUAAGCCUGCGAAGGUGUGCUGUGAGGCAUGCUGGAGGUAUCAGAAGUGCGAAUGCUGACAUAAGUAACGAUAAAGCGGGUGAAAAGCCCGCUCGCCGGAAGACCAAGGGUUCCUGUCCAACGUUAAUCGGGGCAGGGUGAGUCGACCCCUAAGGCGAGGCCGAAAGGCGUAGUCGAUGGGAAACAGGUUAAUAUUCCUGUACUUGGUGUUACUGCGAAGGGGGGACGGAGAAGGCUAUGUUGGCCGGGCGACGGUUGUCCCGGUUUAAGCGUGUAGGCUGGUUUUCCAGGCAAAUCCGGAAAAUCAAGGCUGAGGCGUGAUGACGAGGCACUACGGUGCUGAAGCAACAAAUGCCCUGCUUCCAGGAAAAGCCUCUAAGCAUCAGGUAACAUCAAAUCGUACCCCAAACCGACACAGGUGGUCAGGUAGAGAAUACCAAGGCGCUUGAGAGAACUCGGGUGAAGGAACUAGGCAAAAUGGUGCCGUAACUUCGGGAGAAGGCACGCUGAUAUGUAGGUGAAGUCCCUCGCGGAUGGAGCUGAAAUCAGUCGAAGAUACCAGCUGGCUGCAACUGUUUAUUAAAAACACAGCACUGUGCAAACACGAAAGUGGACGUAUACGGUGUGACGCCUGCCCGGUGCCGGAAGGUUAAUUGAUGGGGUCAGCGCAAGCGAAGCUCUUGAUCGAAGCCCCGGUAAACGGCGGCCGUAACUAUAACGGUCCUAAGGUAGCGAAAUUCCUUGUCGGGUAAGUUCCGACCUGCACGAAUGGCGUAAUGAUGGCCAGGCUGUCUCCACCCGAGACUCAGUGAAAUUGAACUCGCUGUGAAGAUGCAGUGUACCCGCGGCAAGACGGAAAGACCCCGUGAACCUUUACUAUAGCUUGACACUGAACAUUGAGCCUUGAUGUGUAGGAUAGGUGGGAGGCUUUGAAGUGUGGACGCCAGUCUGCAUGGAGCCGACCUUGAAAUACCACCCUUUAAUGUUUGAUGUUCUAACGUUGACCCGUAAUCCGGGUUGCGGACAGUGUCUGGUGGGUAGUUUGACUGGGGCGGUCUCCUCCUAAAGAGUAACGGAGGAGCACGAAGGUUGGCUAAUCCUGGUCGGACAUCAGGAGGUUAGUGCAAUGGCAUAAGCCAGCUUGACUGCGAGCGUGACGGCGCGAGCAGGUGCGAAAGCAGGUCAUAGUGAUCCGGUGGUUCUGAAUGGAAGGGCCAUCGCUCAACGGAUAAAAGGUACUCCGGGGAUAACAGGCUGAUACCGCCCAAGAGUUCAUAUCGACGGCGGUGUUUGGCACCUCGAUGUCGGCUCAUCACAUCCUGGGGCUGAAGUAGGUCCCAAGGGUAUGGCUGUUCGCCAUUUAAAGUGGUACGCGAGCUGGGUUUAGAACGUCGUGAGACAGUUCGGUCCCUAUCUGCCGUGGGCGCUGGAGAACUGAGGGGGGCUGCUCCUAGUACGAGAGGACCGGAGUGGACGCAUCACUGGUGUUCGGGUUGUCAUGCCAAUGGCACUGCCCGGUAGCUAAAUGCGGAAGAGAUAAGUGCUGAAAGCAUCUAAGCACGAAACUUGCCCCGAGAUGAGUUCUCCCUGACCCUUUAAGGGUCCUGAAGGAACGUUGAAGACGACGACGUUGAUAGGCCGGGUGUGUAAGCGCAGCGAUGCGUUGAGCUAACCGGUACUAAUGAACCGUGAGGCUUAACCUUACAACGCCGAAGGUGUUU